rnacentral:rRNA from 1 species
UACGAAGGGGGCUAGCGUUGUUCGGAAUUACUGGGCGUAAAGGGCGCGUAGGCGGCUUAUCAAGUCAGGCGUGAAAGCCCCGGGCUUAACCUGGGAACUGCGCUUGAGACUGUUAGGCUUGAGUUUCGGAGAGGUAGGUGGAAUUCCCAGUGUAGAGGUGAAAUUCGUAGAUAUUGGGAAGAACACCGGUGGCGAAGGCGGCCUACUGGACGAAUACUGACGCUGAGGCGCGAAAGCGUGGGGAGCAAAC